GACGAACGCUGGCGGCGUGCUUAACACAUGCAAGUCGAACGGAAAGGCCCUGCUUGCAGGGUCCUCGAGUGGCGAACGGGUGAGUAACACGUGGGUGAUCUGCCCUGCACUUCGGGAUAAGCCUGGGAAACUGGGUCUAAUACCGGAUAGGAGCCAUUUUUAGUGUGAUGGUUGGAAAGUUUUUUCGGUGUAGGAUGAGCUCGCGGCCUAUCAGCUUGUUGGUGGGGUAAUGGCCUACCAAGGCGGCGACGGGUAGCCGGCCUGAGAGGGUGGACGGCCACAUUGGGACUGAGAUACGGCCCAGACUCCUACGGGAGGCAGCGGUGGGGAAUAUUGCACAAUGGGCGCAAGCCUGAUGCAGCGACGCCGCGUGGGGGAUGACGGCCUUCGGGUUGUAAACUCCUUUCGCUAGGGACGAAGCUUUUUGUGACGGUACCUAGAUAAGAAGCACCGGCUAACUACGUG
rnacentral:rRNA from 1 species